UACGUAGGGUGCAAGCGUUAAUCGGAAUUACUGGGCGUAAAGCGUGCGCAGGCGGUUGUGCAAGACAGAUGUGAAAUCCCCCGGGCUUAACCUGGGAACUGCAUUUGUGACUGCACGGCUAGAGUGUGUCAGAGGGGGGGUAGAAUUCCACGUGUAGCAGUGAAAUGCGUAGAUAUGUGGAGGAAUACCGAUGGCGAAGGCAGCCCCCUGGGUCAAGAUUGACGCUCAUGCACCGGAAAAGCGUGGGGAGCAAAACAG
rnacentral:rRNA from 1 species